AUCUCUUGAGUAUGUUCAGUACAUUUGCCUUCCAAGCAAAAAGAUUAAAUAAAUUUAAAAGAGAUA
rnacentral:tRNA from 1 species